rnacentral:rRNA from 1 species
AGCCCAACUCUAGCCCAACCAUAUUACUAAUAGAGCACACCAAAAAAAUCCACUCCACCACCAAAUUAAAACAUUUUUUCCACAACUUAGUAUAGGCGAUAGAAAAGAUACUUUGGCGCUAUAGAGAUAUUUGUACCGCAAGGGAAAGAUGAAAUAACAAUGAAAAACUCAAGCAACAAAUAGCAAAGAUAGCCCUUGUACCUUUUGCAUCAUGAUUUAGCAAGAACCACCAAGCAAAAUGAAUUUUAGCUUGCCACCCCGAAACCUGAGCGAGCUACUUACAAGCAGCUAUCCUAGAGCGAACCCGUCUCUGUUGCAAAAGAGUGGGAAGACUUGCCAGUAGAGGUGAAAAGCCUACCGAGCCAGGUGAUAGCUGGUUGCCUGUGAAACGAAUCUAAGUUCCCUCUUAAUUUUCCUCUACGGACCCCACCCAACCCCCAACGUAGUGAAUCAAGAGCUAUUUAAAGGGGGUACAGCCCCUUUAAAGAAGGACACGCCUUCCCUAGCGGAUAACUUACCCAACCCCACCCCCUAAACUUGUAGGCCCUUAAGCAGCCAUCAGCAAAGAGUGCGUCAAAGCUCCACACCCCAAAAAUCUGAAGACUGUACGACUCCCUUACCACCAACAGGCCAACCUAUAACAAUAGAAGGAUUAAUGCUAAAAUAAGUAACUAGGGCCUCUCACCCUCUCAGGCGCAACGUUACAUGAUUCCAUUAUUAACAGGCUAACUAAUACCGCAACUUUGACAAGACAAAAUAUUGAACCCGUCCUGUUAACCCAACUCAGGAGCGCCCAUAAGAAAGAUUUAAAUCUGCAGAAGGAACUAGGCAAACCCAAGGCCCGACUGUUUACCAAAAACAUAGCCUUCAGCCAACCAAGUAUUGAAGGUGAUGCCUGCCCAGUGACCCCACGUUCAACGGCCGCGGUAUCCUAACCGUGCGAAGGUAGCGCAAUCAAUUGUCCCAUAAAUCGAGACUUGUAUGAAUGGCUAAACGAGGUCUUAACUGUCUCCUGUAGAUAAUCAGUGAAAUUGAUCUUCCUGUGCAAAAGCAGGAAUAGGCACAUAAGACGAGAAGACCCUGUGGAACUUAAAAAUCAGCGGCCACCACACAUUUAACUCCUAAGCCUACUAGGCCCGCACACCCCCUCCAAACACUGGCCCGCAUUUUUCGGUUGGGGCGACCUUGGAGAAAAACGAAUCCUCCAAAAAUAAGACCACACCUCUUAACCAAGAGCAACAUCUCAACGUACCAACAGUAACCAGACCCAGCACAAGCCUGACUAAUGGACCAAGCUACCCCAGGGAUAACAGCGCAAUCUCCUUCAAGAGCCCAUAUCGACGAGGAGGUUUACGACCUCGAUGUUGGAUCAGGACAUCCUAAUGGUGCAGCCGCUAUUAAGGGUUCGUUUGUUCAACGAUUAACAGUCCUACGUGAUAUGAGUUCAGACCGGAGCAAUCCAGGUCGGUUUCUAUCUAUGACGAACUUUUCCUACUACGAAAGGACCGGAAAAGUAGAGCCAAUACUACAAGCAUGCCCUCCCUCUAAGCAGUGAAUCCAACUAAACUGCCAAAAGGACACCCACAACCCCUACAUCCUAGAAAAGGACC